rnacentral:lncRNA from 1 species
UUACGUGUGUUUCUGUUUAAAGACACCUUACUAAGAUAUAGUGUCGAUUCAUUAACAUGGAACCCAUGGCCAACAGCGCUGUGGCUCACGCCUGAAGGAAGCUCAUCGAACACAUGUGUUUUCUCCAUGAGGCAUGUCAUGGCCUUCUCACACUUACAAACACUGGAUAGCACUUCAGCACUAGGCCUGGGGGCCAUUUUAAACAGCGAAAUCCCAAAAAAAAGCACAAAAAUACAAAAAACGUGGCACUAAAUAGACCGCCAAAAGGACACUUAUUUACAGCACGAGAGUGGAAACAAGAAGCUGGAGCAUCAGCUUCUGACUUUGGCUGGGACCAUGUCCUCUGAUGACUCAAAAUUUUUACCUCUCUGCACAUGCACAUGUCCCUGAAUGGCCACAAAAAGGCCCCAAGUAUUGAUUUCGGGGUUACAAAUAAAUUUUAGCUAGAGAAGAAUUCGCAAAUAUGGAAUUCAUGCAUAAUGAGGAUCAAUUGUUUGUACAUAUAUAUAUAUAUAUAUACGUAAAUAUUAUUUUUGAACCAUUUGGGAGUAUGUUGGAAACAUCAUGUCUCUGUACCCCCGAAUACUUCAACGUGUGUUUUCAAAAUGGUCAUUCUCUUACAUGAGCACCGUGCAGUUCUCGAAUUCAAGAAACUUACCAGUGAUACAAUACUAUUUUGUAAUAGCUGUUUUUUCCCUGGUCCAGCAGCCAACUCAGGAUCACACAUUGCAUUUAGUUGUCAUGGCUUGUAGUUUCUCAGUCUUUCUUUGUCUUUGAUGAUCUCACUUUGUAGAAUGUCCUUCAAUUUGGGUUUUCUGAUGUUUCCUCAUGAUUAGAUUCAAGUUAUGCAUUUUUGGCAAGAAUAUCCAGAAGCGAUGUGCUUCCAGGUGCAUCAUAUCAAGAAGCCCGUGACGCUGUUUGUCCCAACAUUGGGGGUGUUAGGUUUGAUGGCUUAGUUAAAGUGGUGUCUGCCACGUUUGACAUGCCAAGUUCGGGAGGCUGGGAAGUCCAAGGUCAAGGUGCAAAAAGAUUCUGUAGGUCCUGGUUCAGAGAAGGCCGUCUUCUCGCUGUGUCCUCAGCUGGUGGAAGGGGCCGUGUAAGCUGGCAGCCCUCAUGCGACGUUCCGGAGCCGGUGGCACAAGGGGGUCUACAGAGAGAAGAGAGCGGCUCUGCAGGGAAUGAGAAGGAGGAGAGUGGGGGACUCGGACUGAGCGUGGAGAACAGCCACUUGCAUUGCGGUCUCUCCAGUUUCCCAUUUCAAACUCUGGGUCAGCGUGGCAGUCCUUCCUGCCUGUGGGUUCCAUAUGACAUCUGUAAAAUGGGAUGGGAUGGUACCCACCUCCAAGGGUGACUGAAGAUGAGGAACAGCCCGUGUGGGUGCUCAAUAAAUGCUGGCUCUUACUCAGCCACCAUUGUUUUACUUUUAAGUUCUUC